rnacentral:rRNA from 1 species
GUGCCAGCCGCCGCGGUAAUACGGAGGGUCCGAGCGUUAAUCGGAAUUACUGGGCGUAAAGCGCGCGUAGGUGGUUCAGUCAGUCGGAUGUGAAAGCCCCGGGCUCAACCUGGGAACUGCACCUGAUACUGCUGAGCUAGAGUACGGUAGAGGGCAGUGGAAUUUCCGGUGUAGCGGUGAAAUGCGUAGAGAUCGGAAGGAACACCAGUGGCGAAGGCGACUGCCUGGACCGAUACUGACACUGAGGUGCGAAAGCGUGGGUAGCAAACAGGAUUAGAUACCCUAGUAGUCC